rnacentral:antisense_RNA from 1 species
ACGUCACUUCCGACUAGUGGAGUUUUUAGCCUUUUAACAUUCAAGGAUUAGGUAAGUUCUCCCCGCGGUAGACUUCAAAUACUCUUUGUCCUGCCCCUGCUUGGCGAAAUUUACCGAAAUUAUCUACCUAUCCCGCUGGAGUGGGAGCCGGGAGAGAGCUGGAACCGCGUCUCUGCUGCUCACCUUUGUGUCCUUAGCUCCUUCGCAUGGGGUCCGACCGCAACACGUGCGCUGGAUAAACGCUUGUUAACUAGAGCUCCCUCUUUGCCCACUAGCAGGGCAUUAGCUGGUGCUGAAGACAGUGGCUGCUUGGCGAGCCUGGAUCUCCAAGUGACCCCCUCAGCAACUCCUGAUGAACAGGGACUUGCACUUAGAAUCUGUUACAGUGAGCACAGAAGCAGACCUGUGGGCUCAUAGUCUUCACCCCCCCACCCAUAUAUACAAGAUGAACAGAGUGGAGGUUAAACAACUUGACCAAACAACACAGUUCACAGUAAAGCCCAAGACUGCACCUGCCCAUCCAGUGCUUUUUCAAUGUAUCCUGGCACUGAGCAUAGAC